rnacentral:tRNA from 1 species
GUCAGUUUGUCCGAGUGGUUAAGGAGUUUGACUCGAAAUCAAAUAGGCUAUGCCUGCGCAGGUUCAAAUCCUGCAGCUGACG